AAAUUGAAGAGUUUGAUCAUGGCUCAGAUUGAACGCUGGCGGCAGGCCUAACACAUGCAAGUCGAACGGUAACAGGGAUCAGCUUGCUGAUUCGCUGACGAGUGGCGGACGGGUGAGUAAUGUCUGGGAAACUGCCUGAUGGAGGGGGAUAACUACUGGAAACGGUAGCUAAUACCGCAUAACGUCGCAAGACCAAAGA
rnacentral:rRNA from 1 species